rnacentral:rRNA from 1 species
GGGGAUAGCCUUUCGAAAGAAAGAUUAAUACCCGAUGUCAUAGUCCUACCGCAUGAUGGGAUUAUUAAAGAAUUUCGGUAUGGGAUGGGGAUGCGUUCCAUUAGUUAGUUGGCGGGGUAACGGCCCACCAAGACGACGAUGGAUAGGGGUUCUGAGAGGAAGGUCCCCCACAUUGGAACUGGGACACGGUCCAAACUCCUACGGGAGGCAGCAGUGAGGAAUAUUGGUCAAUGGACGAGAGUCUGAACCAGCCAAGUAGCGUGAAGGAUGACUGCCCUAUGGGUUGUAAACUUCUUUUAUAUGGGAAUAAAAUGUUCCACGUGUGGGAUUUUGUAUGUACCAUAUGAAUAAGGAUCGGCUAACUCCGUGCCAGCAGCCGCGGUAAUACGGAGGAUCCGAGCGUUAUCCGGAUUUAUUGGGUUUAAAGGGAGCGUAGGUGGAUUGUUAAGUCAGUUGUAAAAGUUUGCGGCUCAACCGUAAAAUUGCAGUUGAAACUGGCAGUCUUGAGUACAGUAGAGGUGGGCGGAAUUCGUGGUGUAGCGGUGAAAUGCUUAGAUAUCACGAAGAACUCCGAUUGCGAAGGCAGCUCACUGGACUGCAACUGACACUGAGGCUCGAAAGUGUGGGUAUCAAACAGGAUUAGAUACCCUGGUAGUCCACACAGUAAACG